rnacentral:miRNA from 1 species
AGGAGGCUUGGAGGAGCAAGGGGCUGGGCCUGGGCAGCCCGUAACUCUGGCCACCCUGCCCCUUCCAG